rnacentral:rRNA from 1 species
UUGAACGCUGGCGGCAGGCCUAACCCAUGCCAGUCGAACGGUAACAGGAAGCAGCUUGCUGCUUCGCUGACGAGUGGCGGACGGGUGAGUAAUGUCUGGGAAACUGCCUGAUGGAGGGGGAUAACUACUGGAAACGGUAGCUAAUACCGCAUAACGUCGCAAGACCAAAGAGGGGGACCUUAGGGCCUCUUGCCAUCGGAUGUGCCCAGAUGGGAUUAGCUAGUAGGUGGGGUAACGGCUCACCUAGGCGACGAUCCCUAGCUGGUCUGAGAGGAUGACCAGCCACACUGGAACUGAGACACGGUCCAGACUCCUACGGGAGGCAGCAGUGGGGAAUAUUGCACAAUGGGCGCAAGCCUGAUGCAGCCAUGCCGCGUGUAUGAAGAAGGCCUUCGGGUUGUAAAGUACUUUCAGCGGGGAGGAAGGGAGUAAAGUUAAUACCUUUGCUCAUUGACGUUACCCGCAGAAGAAGCACCGGCUAACUCCGUG